rnacentral:rRNA from 1 species
UGGUGUCACCCCCCCCGGUAAUACCAGCACCUCGAGUGGUCAGGACGUUUAUUGGGCCUAAAGCAUCCCUAGCCGGCUUUGCAAGUCUUCGGUUAAAUCCACCUGCUCAACAGAUGGGCCGCUGGAGAUACUACAGAGCUACGGAGUGGGAGAGGCAGACGGUAUUCAGUGGGUAGGGGUAAAAUCCUCUGAUCCAUUGAGGACCACCAGUGGCGAAGGCGGUCUGCCAGAACACGUUCGACGGUGAGGGAUGAAAGCUGGGGGAGCAAACCGGAUUAGAUACCCGGGUAGUCCCAGCUGUAAACGAUGCAAACUCGGUGAUGCAUUGGCUUAUGGCCAAUGCAGUGCCGCAGGGAAGCCGUUAAGUUUGCCGCCUGGGAAGUACGGACGCAAGUCUGAAACUUAAAGGAAUUGGCGGGGGAGCACCACAAGGGGUGAAGCCUGCGGUUCAAUUGGAGUCAACGCCAGGAAUCUUACCCGGGGAGACAGCAGAAUGAAGGUCAAGCUGAAGACUUUACCAGACAAGCUGAGAGGAGGUGCAUGGCCGUCGCCAGCUCGUGCCGUGAGGUGUCCUGUUAAGUCAGGUAACGAGCGAGAUCCCUGCCCUUAGUUGCUGCAGUUACUCUCAGGAGUAGUUGGGCUAACUAAGGGGACCGCCACUGCUGAAGUGGAGGAAGGAGGGGGCCACGGCAGGUCAGUAUGCCCCGAAACCCUGGGGCUACACGCGGGCUGCAAUGAUAGAGACAACGGGUUCCGAACUCGAAAGAGGGAGGCAAUCCUUAAACUCUAUCUCAGUUAUGAUUGAGGGCUGCAACUCGCCCUCAUGAAUAUGGAAUCCCUAGUAACCGCGCGUCAUAACCGCGCAGUGAAUACGUCCCUGCUCCUUGCACACACCGCCCGUCGCUUCAUUGAAGUUGGUUUGUGACGAGGUGACGCCUAAUUGACGUCAUCGAA